UGGUUGAUGGAAGGAAAUAAGAAAGGAAGAAAUUUUUUAAUGCCAUGGUUAAUUUCUUUUGGAUGUGUAAAUGAAAGCUUUAUUUGUUUGCUUUUGUGAAUAUUUCAUAACAUUGAACUAUUUCUGAAAAUGAAAUGUUGUUUAUGGCUAGUGCUUGGCAUAUUUGUGAUUUGUUUUUUUGGAAAAUGUGUUUUUCUCAUCUUUGGAAAAUUACGUCAAACACAGUUGUUCAUAAACUUAUCUUGUGCGGUUCCGAACAGUGUGAAAGACGCAUUUGCAACCAUAUUGGAUCCCAUAAGUUGCAUAAAGAACAAAUGAGCUUAGGACUCUUGACAUUUAUAUGCAUCUCAUUUCAGACAUGACCUAUUUUGUUUUGUUGCGUAAAGCAGAAAAACAAAAAUGUUGCACCCAUGCAUCGAUCUAUGCACCUCAAAGUA
rnacentral:lncRNA from 1 species